ACGGCUCAGUAACACGUGGAUAACCUACCCUCAGAUCUGGGAUAACUCCGGGAAACUGGAGAUAAUACCGGAUAAUCCGUGAACGCUGGAAUGCCUCACGGUUGAAAGCUUUAGCGUCUGAGGAUGGGUCUGCGGCCGAUUAGGUAGUUGCUGGGGUAACGUCCCAACAAGCCGAUAAUCGGUACGGGUUGUGAGAGCAAGAGCCCGGAGAUGGAUUCUGAGACACGAAUCCAGGUCCUACGGGGCGCAGCAGGCGCGAAAACUUUACACUGCGCGAAAGCGCGAUAAGGGGACCUCGGGUGCGUGCGCAAUGCGUACGCUUUUCAGAUGCCUAAAAAGCAUCUGGAAUAAGGGCCGGGCAAGACCGGUGCCAGCCGCCGCGGUAACACCGGCGGCUCAAGUGGUGGCCGCUAUUAUUGGGCUUAAAGGGUCCGUAGCCGGACCAGUUAGUCCCUUGGGAAAUCUUACGGCUCAACCGUAAGGCUGCCAAUGGAUACUGCUGGUCUUGGGACCGGGAGAGGCAAGAGGUACCUCAGGGGUAGGAGUGAAAUCCUGUAAUCCUUGAGGGACCGCCAGUGGCGAAGGCGUCUUGCUAGAACGGGUCCGACGGUGAGGGACGAAAGCUAGGGGCACGAACCGGAUUAGAUACCCGGGUAGUCCUAGCCGUAAACGAUGCGAGCUAGGUGUCACGUGGAUUGCGAAUCCAUGUGGUGCCGUAGGGAAACCGUGAAGCUCGCCGCCUGGGAAGUACGAUCGCAAGAUUGAAACUUAAAGGAAUUGGCGGGGGAGCAC
rnacentral:rRNA from 1 species